UACGUAGGGUGCAAGCGUUGUCCGGAAUUAUUGGGCGUAAAGAGCUCGUAGGCGGUCUGUCACGUCGGAUGUGAAAACUCGGGGCUCAACCCCGAGCCUGCAUACGAUACGGGCAGACUUGAGUUCGGCAGGGGAGACUGGAAUUCCUGGUGUAGCGGUGGAAUGCGCAGAUAUCAGGAGGAACACCGGUGGCGAAGGCGGGUCUCUGGGCAGUAACUGACGCUGAGGAGCGAAAGCGUGGGGAGCGAACAGG
rnacentral:rRNA from 1 species